rfam:Schistosoma curassoni strain Dakar, Senegal genome assembly, scaffold: SCTD_scaffold0000755
GCAUUGCUGAGGAAUCCAAGAAUAGGACGAAAUGGCCGUCCAAUGC